UACACAUGCAAGUCGAGCGGAUGAAAGGAGCUUGCUCCUGGAUUCAGCGGCGGACGGGUGAGUAAUGCCUAGGAAUCUGCCUGGUAGUGGGGGACAACGUUUCGAAAGGAACGCUAAUACCGCAUACGUCCUACGGGAGAAAGCAGGGGACCUUCGGGCCUUGCGCUAUCAGAUGAGCCUAGGUCGGAUUAGCUAGUUGGUGAGGUAAUGGCUCACCAAGGCGACGAUCCGUAACUGGUCUGAGAGGAUGAUCAGUCACACUGGAACUGAGACACGGUCCAGACUCCUACGGGAGGCAGCAGUGGGGAAUAUUGGACAAUGGGCGAAAGCCUGAUCCAGCCAUGCCGCGUGUGUGAAGAAGGUCUUCGGAUUGUAAAGCACUUUAAGUUGGGAGGAAGGGCAGUAAAUUAAUACUUUGCUGUUUUGACGUUACCGACAGAAUAAGCACCGGCUAACUCUGUGCCAGCAGCCGCGGUAAUACAGAGGGUGCAAGCGUUAAUCGGAAUUACUGGGCGUAAAGCGCGCGUAGGUGGUUUGUUAAGUUGGGAUGUGAAAUCCCCGGGCUCAACCUGGGAACUG
rnacentral:rRNA from 1 species